rnacentral:rRNA from 1 species
UACCUACGGGGGGCAGCAGUGAGGAAUAUUGGUCAAUGGACGAGAGUCUGAACCAGCCAAGUAGCGUGAAGGAUGACUGCCCUAUGGGUUGUAAACUUCUUUUAUAUGGGAAUAAAGUUUUCCACGUGUGGAAUUUUGUAUGUACCAUAUGAAUAAGGAUCGGCUAACUCCGUGCCAGCAGCCGCGGUAAUACGGAGGAUCCGAGCGUUAUCCGGAUUUAUUGGGUUUAAAGGGAGCGUAGAUGGGUUGUUAAGUCAGUUGUGAACGUUUGCGGCUCAACCGUAAAAUUGCAAUUGAUACUGGCG